rnacentral:lncRNA from 1 species
UUAGGUCAUAAGAGAACCUCGAUCGAUCCAUGAAUUGCAAGCCUUAAACAUAACAGAGCGCACAAAAAUAUUUAUUGGAUAAACAGUUUUCAAUUCAUGAAACAUUUAGAGCUUAAUAACUCAAGCAUACAUUUGAAAAAUAAGCCCACCUGAUUAGGCAAAGCCUGUCGUUUAUCUUAUCUUUGAACCGGAAUAGCCGUCCUAGUCCUCACGAUCCAAAAAGCCUACAAGAAGUCUAUAAUCUUAAUAGGUCUCCUAAAUCUAAUCUUAAGCCAUGGUAAAGUGCUUAACAUCCUAUAAUUCACUUAGCCGGGUUUUUCAAAAUUUAACGAAUAAAUAAAUAGCAGCCCAUUUCUUUAACUUAGAACAAAGGCCCAAAACAUGAUUAAAAUCAACCCACUUUCUUUUUUAAAAAAAAUGGCAGCCCUUUUUUGGCCCAAAUUAAUUAGGGCAAGGCCCAAAAUCCUUCUUCUUCAUUUAAAACACAUGAACACGCACACACCACAAACCCUCUCUCUCUCUCUCUCUCUCUC